CUCCCCGCCCCUCCCCCCGCUGCUUCUUCCGCUGAGGCCGGGGCGAGUGGAGGCGGCGCUGUGCAUUGUGGGUGGCGAGCGGCCGAUUUGGAUUCCCGCUCACGGCCACCGUCGGUGGCUCGCGAGCUUCUGAAGCGGCGGCUCGCUGGCUGGGCCACCUCUACGUCGACUCAGCCCGAAGAAGGCGAGAAGCUUGCACGCACAACAACAAGAAGCAGGAGGAGGAAGGUUCGUCUCCCAAGCCGAGCGCUUCUGGGUCCACCUUCAUGAUCCUCCCUCUGCCCCAGGGUGGAAAGAUCCCCUCGCACAGGGUUACGGCCGGGGCGAGUGGAGGCGGUGCUGUGCAUUGUGGGUGGCGAGAGGCUGAUUUGGAUUCCCUCUCACGGUCACCGUCGGUGGCUCGCGAGCUUCUGAAGUGGUGGCUCGUUGGCUGGGCCUCCUCUACGUCGACUCAGCCAGAAGAAGGUGGUGCAGGUUCAGGAGUUUUCUGGCUGCACUCUGAUCUUUGGCCUUGGCUGUCGCCCAAGUGGGAUUGUCGCACAGCAGUCAACCCAUAGCAUCAGUAUCUGUCCCAUGACCUCCUCUUGCACCUAGCCUGGCACAGCAGUCAACCC